UUACGGUCAAAUCACGCUGAAACACCGGUUCUCGUUCGAUCACCGAAGUUAAGCAUCGUAGAGCCAGGUCAGUACUUAGAUGGGGGACCGCUUGGCAACACCUGGUACUGUAAG